rnacentral:rRNA from 1 species
GGAUGAUCAGCCACACUGGAACUGAGACACGGUCCAGACUCCUACGGGAGGCAGCAGUGGGGAAUAUUGCACAAUGGACGAAAGUCUGAUGCAGCAACGCCGCGUGGAGGAUGACACAUUUCGGUGCGUAAACUCCUUUUAUAUGGGAAGAUAAUGACGGUACCAUAUGAAUAAGCACCGGCUAACUCCGUGCCAGCAGCCGCGGUAAUACGGAGGGUGCAAGCGUUACUCGGAAUCACUGGGCGUAAAGCGCGCGCAGGCGGCCUUUUAAGUUGGAUGUGAAAGCCUACGGCUCAACCGUAGAACUGCAUCCAAAACUAUCAGGCUAGAGUGUGGGAGAGGAAGGUGGAAUUAGUUGUGUAGGGGUAAAAUCCGUAGAGAUAACUAGGAAUACCAAAAGCGAAGGCAAUCUUCUGGAACAUUACUGACGCUGAGGCGCGAAAGCGUGGGGAGCAAACAGGAUUAGAUACCCUGGUAGUCCACGCCCUAAACGAUGAAUGUUAGUCGUCGGGUAGCUAGUCUAUUCGGUGAUGCAGCUAACGCAUUAAACAUUCCGCCUGGGGAGUACGGUCGCAAGAUUAAAACUCAAAGGAAUAGACGGGGACCCGCACAAGUGGUGGAGCAUGUGGUUUAAUUCGAAGAUACGCGAAGAACCUUACCUAGCCUUGACAUAUUAAAGAACACCCUAGAGAUAGAGUGGUGCCUUCGGGAGCUUUUUUACAGGUGCUGCACGGCUGUCGUCAGCUCGUGUCGUGAGAUGUUGGGUUAAGUCCCGCAACGAGCGCAACCCUCGUCACUAGUUACUAACGGUUCGGCCGAGGACUCUAGUGAGACUGCCUUCGUAAGGAGGAGGAAGGUGAGGACGACGUCAAGUCAUCAUGGCCCUUACGGCUAGGGCAACACACGUGCUACAAUGGCCAGGACAGUGAGACGCGAUACCGCGAGGUGGAGCAAAUCUAUAAACCUGGUCUCAGUUCGGAUUGUAGUCUGCAACUCGACUACAUGAAGCUGGAAUCACUAGUAAUCGUAGAUCAGCUAUGCUACGGUGAAUACGUUCCCGGGUCUUGUACUCACCGCCCGUCACACCAUGGGAGUUGAUUUCACCCGAAGCGGGGAAGCUAAACUGGCUACCCUCCACGGUGGGAUCAGCGACUGGGGUGAAGUCGUAACAAGGUAACCG